CAGAGGGGGCAAGCGUUAUUCGGAAUUAUUGGGCGUAAAGGGCGCGUAGGCGGCUUGGCAAGUGGAAGGUGAAAUCCCUCGGCUUAACCGAGGAACUGCCCUCCAAACUGCUUUGCUUGAGGCCGGGAGAGGCGAGUGGAAUCCCCAGUGUAGCGGUGAAAUGCGUAGAUAUUGGGAGGAACACCAGUGGCGAAGGCGGCUCGCUGGACCGGUUCUGACGCUGAGGCGCGAAAGCGUGGGGAGCAAACGGGAUUAGAUACCCCGGUAGUCCACGCUGUAAACGAUGAGUGCUUGGUGUAGCGGGUAUCGACCCCUGCUGUGCCGAAGUCAACACAUUAAGCACUCCGCCUGGGGAGUACGGUCGCAAGGCUG
rnacentral:rRNA from 1 species